rnacentral:lncRNA from 7 species
CUCAAACAUAUCCUGAUAAUGAGUCAUUACAAUAUUUGCUAAGAUAAAAUGAACGCACUGUCUCCCGGAGUUGAUAUUACAAAUAGAAAUCAAAAAAACCUGAAAUGGAUUAACAAGUCCAUGAACGGAGAUGCAUAUUCUUCAAUAUUCUGCCCACGGGAGUAGGAUCUCGUGGUGUCCAGAAUGGAUUAAUAAGCAAACAAGGGAGUAUUUGACUUCACUUAUAACCUCAGCUUGCCGCCGUCGCCGCCAAGGGAGUGAGGGCCUGAGGGAGAGCCGGAGAGGGUAGGCCGCCUGCACGGCUGCACUGCCGACCUGGCCUCUGGCGGUCUGCCGUCGGCCGUGAGCCCGUGAGCCGUGACAGCCUGCACUGCCGCCUGCCAGUCUGGCGCCUGGCGGUCUGCCGCCCG